UACAGAGGGGGCUAGCGUUGUUCGGAAUCACUGGGCGUAAAGCGCGUGUAGGCGGCUUGACAAGUCAGGUGUGAAAUCCCAGGGCUUAACCCUGGAACUGCACUUGAAACUGUCAGGCUGGAGUACGGUAGGGGAUAGUGGAAUUCCUAGUGUAGAGGUGAAAUUCGUAGAUAUUAGGAGGAACACCGAUGGCGAAGGCAGCUAUCUGGGCCGUUACUGACGCUGAGACGCGAAAGCGUGGGGAGCAAACAGG
rnacentral:rRNA from 1 species